rnacentral:ncRNA from 2 species
CGAGGCGGCCGUGACUGGCGAAGGUGGACAACCACCGGGGAGCGGCCGCCUCGACCACCGGGCCUGCCGGGCGUCGUCGAGACCGCCGUGAGCGCCGCCCGCCUGGGCGCCAGGG